CUACGGGGCGCAGCAGCAGCGAAACCUUUACAAUGCACGAAAGUGUGAUAAGGGAAUUCCAAGUGUGCAUAUACCAUAUGUACUUUUUUCUAGUUUAAAACGCUAGAAGAAUAAGGGGUGGGUAAGACUAGUGCCAGCCGCCGCGGUAAAACUAGCAUCCCAAGUGGCAGUCACCAUUACUGGGCUUAAAGCGUCCGUAGCUUGUUUUGAAAGUCUCUGGUGAAAUCCUGCAGCUUAACUGUAGGGCUUGCCGGGGAAACUACAAAACUUGAGGAUGGGAGAGGUCGGAGGUACUUCUGGGGUAGGGGUGAAAUCCUAUAAUCCUAGAAGGACCAACAGUGGCGAAGGCGUCCGACAUGAACAUGCCUGACAGUGAGGGACGAGAGCCAGGGUCGCGAAACGGAUUAGAUACCCCGGUAGUC
rnacentral:rRNA from 1 species